GGCACAGUCGCUCAAGAAUGCUGUCUCGGAAAAGUGCAGAAUUUAGCUUUCAUGUAGUGCUGCUCUCGUUUUCUGCUUGGGGCGUGGUAAUUUUUGCUUAAAAAUGUCUUUUGCAGAGUCUAGAUCUACACUGAGACAGCUGCUGAUGUUAGAGAGCUUGUGUUAGAAUGCUUACUGGAGUUCUCAGGGUGUCCGAUGCACUUAAAGUUGUCUGCUGCAUAUACAGCCUACUAAAAGUACAAAAACAUGUAUUAUUGUGCUGAAAGGUUGACGAGUCUUGCAUUAAUGGUGAUUCUAUUUAUCAUUGCUAAGUUUAGUAGAGUUAGGCUUUGCAGUGUAGAGACCUUUCUCUAUUUUGCUUAUGUGUUAGAAGCAGUCCUGUUUCUGGGGGGGGUCCUUAGAGAAAUUUCAGUAAUUUAGCAUGAGCUGUCAUGCUACACCUAUAAUACUAAGCAAAUAAAGUAUUUCAAGCCCCCACAAUAUGAAUGUACUUUCCAGACUUCCCUUACAUGUUGUUGUCUUUAUGGCCCACUAUACAUGUGUACCUGUGUUGCUUUUCAAGAGCAUGAGCACAGCACUUUUCUCCUAAAGGUUAUCUCCACUAAUGCAGUGUUUCACUUUAAGAGCAGGCAUGCACCCUUGAGAGGACAUUAGUGGCUUACAUACUGAGGGGAGUGAAGUCUGGAAGACUUUAUCAACUAUCCCCAAAAUACUGUGCUGCUGCUAGGACGCCUGUGUUUGUGCAAAUACUGGAUACAAUCAUCUCAUUAAGUUUGAGUAGCAAGUAUUUAACCUCAAAUGAAGCCGCCUGCCUGCAGUGGAACAGAUGUCAGUUCUCUACAAAUCAUGCUUCCCAUGAAGUCAAGAAUGACUUGUGUCUUCUAUUAAGCCCGGCUUUCUGUACUUUAUUCAAGAUUAAACCGUUGCAUGCCUCUAGUUCAUGCUUGUACAUCUGUGCCAAUUCCUGUGAGCUUCUGUGGGCCUUGAGACUAGGACCCACCUUGUUUCAGUGUGACUGACAUGCCAGUUUUGCGUUUCUAAUUCUGCAUUUUUAAUGAUCAGUAUCUUGCAAAUCUCUCUAGUUUCAUACACGUGAGCUAGUACUGAUAUUUUAUCAUAGGAAAUUUCUGUAGAUAAAACGCACUGGUUUUAGUUUUCCUUCUUCAAGGAACAUAAAACUUUGACAAGCAGUAAGGUUCAUCUGGACUAGAAAUUUAUACUAAUAAAUUCUGCUGAUUUGUUUAUGAUUUUGGAUAU
rnacentral:lncRNA from 1 species